GAGUGAGUGAGAGAGAGAGACAGGGCGGAGACAGAGUGUGAGUGAGACGGCGAGAGUGCGAGUGGUCAUGGAACUCCAGUACAUAUGGAACCAUGCCCCCAUGGUUCCUUAUGUACUGGAGUUCCAUGACCACUCGCACUCUCGCCGUCUCACUCACACUCUGUCUCCGCCCUGUCUCUCUCUCUGCCCUGUCUC
rnacentral:miRNA from 1 species